ACAUGGCAUGCAGCUCGGGGGAAUAACUCAAAUGCUCAACACGUGGCACCUGUUGCUGCUGUUCAGGUCUCUGUUAUUAGGAUGGCAGACGUGCUGUGUUCCUUAGAGGAAUUCUUGGUAAAGUUUACUUGAAACUGCUGAGGCCUCUUGCUGUGUGACCUUGGGCGAGACACUUGGCCUCUCUGAGCCCUGGGUUCCUCCUAAAUAAGAUACAAUGAGGCAAAAAGCCCUACCUGCCUAGAGUCUAGAAUAAUGCCUGGCCUGCAAUAAGGACUCAUAUAAAUAAACACUACAAAUAAAUAUACUUGUUCAAUGUGUUCUCCUCCAGAAAAUGUCAGCACCAGCACAGGCUGCCCAAAGCAAAGGGAAGGUGAAUACUACCCUCCCCACACCCUAAGGACUCUGUGUUGCUGGGGGAGGCACCUACCCCACCCCCCGCUAAACCACUUGGACCAUUUGACUCUGCCCUGGAGAGCAGCCAGGAAGCCAGAGAGAGGCUGACUCCCCAUCCGACACUCUUUUGGAUACCAGGAACCCUCUCUUAAAUAAUAAUGUAUUCAUAAGUCCAGAGCCCACCUAUCCUCAAAGCAGAAUCACCCUCCACAGGCCCCUUGACCUGACCAUAUUGAUCUGUCUGAGCUGUCAUUUCAUGGCAGCUCUGCACAGACGGAGUUGGCUUGUCCAGGGCUCAAGGGGUGCCCAGGAGCGGCUGGAGUGAAAGAGAAAUGAGAUCUGCCCCUUAAGCUAAAGCAGGCAGCUGCUCCAGAGGGAGGCACUGGGGCUGCAGUAGGAGGUCUCUGUCCACCACCCUGGGUCCCACCAGAGGAAGCCAGCAGGGAAUGAAUGAAUGAAUGAAUGAACAAACCCUACGCUCCUGGGGCUCUGGCCAGACCGGGACAGGAUGAGCUGGAUCAAUCUGGAAGGUCAGCAACCUGGCCCUUGGACAGGCCCAAACCUACCUGGCCAGACCAUAGGGUCUCAGGAGGUCUCGAGCCUGGGGCCAAGGGGCACCAUGCCUUCCAAAGAGGUAGCCAGACCUGGCCAGUUCCUCAAAGUCAGACAGGUCCUUAGGCUGAGCCAGACCCUCGCUGCAGCCAGCCCUCUGUCUGCUAUUUACUUGCUGCCUGUUUUCCUCGUGACAGGCCUUCCAAGAACAUCAGAUCAAUGCAGCAGGUUCUGGUGCCCACAGCUCUCAGCCUUCCUCCCAUUGCCAAGGUUCAGCUGCUGCUUCCUGAAAGGCUGGGCAGGGGCUGAGCCACAUGAAAGCACAGCCCAGUGUGGGGGUGAGUCCUCAGCCCCCUGUCCCAGCUCAAGGCCUCGGGCAGAGGAGUCCAGGAGAGAAUGAACAGAGACACCCACCGUGGAAAGCAGGGUGUGCUCAGGAAGCCUGUCCUGCCCCACAUCCAGGGAGCACAUCAUGAACAGCUGGCAGGAAAACGGAAGAACAAAUAGGGGAACACAGGACUCACACCACAGAAUGCUGGCCAGCAAUACCACAUAACACAGGUGAAUCUCAAGAAUACAAUGUUGAAAGAAGCCAGACAAACCAAGAAGCACCGGAUGGCUCCCAACAGGCAAAACUGAUCUGGGCUGUAAGAAGUUAGCACGCAAUCAUCCUUGGGGUGAGGUGGCUGGAAACCAUGGGAAGGGAACGAAGGGUGUUCAGAUGGGCCAGGGAGGUUCAGUUGUGACAAUUAGUCAAGCUGAACAUACACUGAUCUGUGCCCUUCUCUGUAUGCUUAUUACAUGUUGACAAAAGGUCUAAAGAAACUGGUAUUUAUCUCAGAAGUAGAUUUCUGUUUUCUUUUUAUCUGUUCUUUCUAUAAUUGCCACACCAAACAUACUUUAUUUUUCAAUGAAUGAAUAAGAUGACAA